UAGGGCGUAGCCUUCCCAGUGCCUGUCCCCUGACUGAGGCCCAGCCCCCUUUGCCCAUGCCCAUCACCAGUGCCACCAGCAUGUUUGACAAACUGCCCUACAAAGUCGCUGAUGUUGGCCUGGCUGCCUGGGGACGCAAGGCCCUGGAUAUUGUGGAGAACAAGAUGCUGGGCCUGAUGCGCUUGCAUGAGCGGUACUUGGCCUCCAAGCCACUGAAGGGCACCCGCAUUGCCGGCUGCUUGCACAUGACCGUGGAGACAGCCAUCCUCAUUGAGACCUUCAUCGUCCUGGGUGCUGAGGUGAGGUGGUCCAGCUGUAACAUCUUCUCCACCCAGGACCAUGUAGCGGCUGGCAUUCCAGUGUAUGCCUGGAAGGGUGAAACCGACAAGGUGUACCUGUGGUGCACUGAGAAGAUGCUGUACUUCAAGGACUGGCCCCUCAACAUGAUUCUGGACGAUGGGGUCGACCUCACUAACCUCAUGCACACCAAGUAUCCGCAGCUCCUGUCUGGCAUCUCAGGCAUCACCGAAGAGACCACGACUGGGGUCCACAACCUCUAAAAGAUGAAGGCCAGUGGGAUCCUGAUGGUGCCUGCCAUCAAUAUCAACGAUUCUGUCACCAAGAACAAGUUUGACAACUUCUGUGGCUGCCGGGAGUCCCUCAUAGAUGGCGUCAAGCUGGCCACAGAUGUGAUGAUUGCCAGCAAGGUAGUGGUGGUAGCAGGCUAUGGCGAUGUGGGAAAGGGCUGUGUCAUCAUCACCGAGAUUGAUCCCCUCAACACACUGUAGGCUGCUAUGGAGGGCUAUGAGUUGACCACCAUGGAUGAGGCCUGUCAGGAGGGCAACAUCUUUGUCAACACCACAGGCUGUGUUGACAUCAUCCUUGGGCAGCACUUUGAGCAGAUGAAGGAUGAUGCCAUCGUGUGUAACAUUGGACAUUUUGACUUGGAGAUUAUUUCAAGUGGCUCAACGAGAACACUGUAGAGAAGGUGAACAUCAAGCCACAGGUGGACCAGUACCAGCUGAAGAAUGGGCGCCACAUCAUCCUGCUGGCUGAGGGUCAGCUGGUCAACUUGGGUUGUGCCAUGGGCUACCUCAGCUUCGUGAUGAGUAACUCCUUCACCAACCAGGUGAUGGCACAGAUCAAGCUGUGGACCCACCCAGACAAGUACCCUGUUGGGGUUUACUUCCUGCCCAAAAAUCUGGAUGAGGCAGUGGCUGAUGCCCACUUGGGCAAGCUGAGCAUGGAGUUGACCAAGCUGACUGAGAAGUAGGCCCAGUACCUAGGCAUGUCCCGUAAUGGCCCCUUCAAGCCAGAUCACUACCGCUACUGAGAGCCAGGUCUGCGCUUUGCUUUCCAGCUGCUGUCCUUGCCCAGGCCGGCCUCUCCUCCCUAAGAACAAAUGGCACCAACUUUGCGAUUGGUUUAUCAGUGUCCCCCAUCAACUCUCUGGGGCCAGUCACUCAGUGGUCUCUGCUGCAGCCCUCAUAUGGUUCCAGGGAUGGCAGUGAGAACUGAGAGGUCCUUCCUCAAGCCUCAGUCAUGAUGGCGGUACCAGCCACAGGGAACCAUGAGCUCAGUGGUCUUGGAACUGCUUAUUGAGUAAGUCCUUCCUUAGCCUCAAAGUCAGUAGUGGAGUCACAAAGCCCAUGCGUUUUGCCAUCUAGGCCUUUACCUGGUCUGUGGACUUAGACCUGUGUGCUUGGUUUACAGGUUCAAUGGUUCCUCAGCGCAUGGCAGAUGAGAAGGAGCUAUAUUAAAGGGCAAAGAGGAACUGCUGUUUGAAUUUUCCUCAGAGCCUGACUUAGUUCUGGGUCUUCUUUUAAACCUAAUAACAAUGAGGUUAGUACUUUUAGUCCCUGUUUUACAAGGGUUAGAAUAGACUGUUAAGGGGCAACUGAGAAAGAACAGAAAAGUGACAGUCAGAGGUUGAGAGGAGCCAGAAAAACAUAAAAGCAGGCAUAGACCUGCCACUGCUUUGUACCUAGAUGGUUUCUAUCACAACUCUGGAUCAAAAAGAUAAUAAUUUGGCCUAUAAUGUUUAUAAUGUUAAAAGAAAGCAGGAAUGUGGGUAAAUAAAAAUCUUGGUGCCU